GCGCCGCCCGGCAGUUCCGGUGGGUCCAUCCCCCCCCGCCCGGGCCGGUGCCGCCACACGGGCGGCUCCGAGCGCACCCGGCAGAGUCAUGGCCCAGCCCGCCGGGGCCCCCGCCGGCCAGCAGCCCUACAGCAACGGCCCCAUUCAAAAUCAGCUGAUGCAUUCCCCAGAUGGCCAGGGAUACAGCCCUGCGGUUCCAGGAUCAUACUCCCAUCAGAUGCCAGCAAAGGUUACUCCACAUCAGUCUUCUGGACAGUAUAGCUAUAGUGGCUCUCAGAAUGUUUCUCAAUUAAACAACUACCAAGGACCUGGCCAGACUCUCAAUAGACCACCAGUGGCAGCUUUCUCCGGGUCACCAGUACAACAACCAGGUCCUGUUCCACAAGUGCUGCCGCCUGCAUUACAGAACUCAGCAGCUGUAUCAUCUGCUGGAAGCUUUCCUCCUGGAGCCAGUCCACCAGUGCUUUCAAACUGGCAGUACAGCCCGACUCCUGUGAGUCAGCCACUUGGGGCUCAAACAAGCCAUUUGGCUCAUGUGCCUGGGACAGGGUCAGCUCAGCCACCGUCAUCGUUAUCAGGAAGUACAAAUCCUCCAGGGAGUUAUCAAUAUGCUGCUUCUCCGGGGGGUCCUUCACUGCAGAACAGCUACAUGAAGCCAGGAACUGCACCUCCACCAGUGACUCAGCCUUUAACUCCGCUCCACCCUCCAAGGCCACCUUUAGGACCUCCACCAGUUGGUGGUCCACCUAGGCCAUCAGCAGCGAUAGCAGGACCACCUAGUGCACAGUCUCUGCUAAAAUCAGCUGCAAACCAAGAAGGUGAUGCCAGAUCUGCUGCCACUGAUGGGUCUGUAGUGCAAAACAGCUACGAUGCAAUUGAAGGUGGUGGCCUCAUGGCAACUCCACAUCAUUCUCCUGCAGCCCCGAAUCUUAAAAUGAAUAGAAGUGUUGGGUAUUCCUACCCUGCCUUACCUCCAGGCUACCAACAUACUUCUCCACCUGGAGCACCAGGAAUGAAUGCAUCUACUUUGCAAUACCCAGAUGGAUCAAAACAUUUCCACCAGCCUGCCCUGGGCCCUAAUCACUUAACUGCAUCAAUGGGUGGCCUGAGUCUACAGCAGGAAGGGUUAAGACCUGUGAAUCUUCUUCAAGAAAGAAAUAUUCUUCCCACAACCCUCUUGAAGGCUCCUGUCCCCAACUUGCAUGAAGACAUCCAGAAGCUCAACUGCAACCCUGAGUUGUUCCGCUGUACCCUGACUAACAUUCCUCAAACUCAGGCCUUAUUGAAUAAAGCCAAACUUCCUUUGGGGCUCCUGCUUCAUCCUUUCAAAGACUUAUCGCAAUUGCCAGUGGUCACUUCCAGUAUUAUUGUGAGAUGCCGUUCCUGCCGGACGUACAUUAACCCUUUUGUCAGCUUCCUAGACCAAAGGAGAUGGAAAUGCAAUUUGUGCUAUAGAGUGAAUGAUGUUCCUGAAGAAUUCCUGUAUAAUCCUGUGACAAGAGUUUAUGGAGAACCUCAUAAAAGACCUGAAGUCCAGAAUGCUACUAUUGAGUUUAUGGCUCCAUCUGAAUACAUGCUGCGUCCACCUCAGCCGCCCGUGUACCUCUUUGUGUUUGAUGUCUCUCACAAUGCAAUAGAGACAGGAUACUUGAAUACAGUCUGCCAGACCUUGUUAGACAAUCUUGACUCGCUUCCUGGGAACACUAGAACAAAAAUAGGCUUCAUAACGUUUGACAGCACAAUCCAUUUCUACAGUCUUCAGGAAGGUCUUUCUCAGCCUCAGAUGCUUAUAGUUUCAGAUAUUGAAGAUGUAUUUAUACCAAUGCCGGAAAACUUAUUAGUAAAUUUAAAUGAAAAUAAAGAGCUAAUUCAAGAUCUGUUGAAGACAUUGCCACAGAUGUUUACUAAGUCCCUGGAAACUCAGAGUGCUCUGGGGCCUGCAUUACAGGCUGCCUUUAAACUGAUGUCCCCUACUGGAGGUAGAAUCACUGUCUUCCAGACACAGCUCCCAUCUGUGGGAAUGGGAGCACUAAAGUCACGAGAAGAGCCAAACCAAAGAGCAACAGCAAAGGACAUACAUCUGACACCAUCGACUGAUUUUUACAAGAAGUUGGCCUUGGACUGCUCAGGGCAACAGGUUGCAGUGGAUUUAUUUCUUCUUAGUGGGCAAUAUUCUGACUUGGCUUCUCUAGGUUGCAUAUCAAGGUAUUCUGCAGGUAGUGUCUACUACUACCAGUCUUACCAUCAUAAACACAACCCUGUCCAGGUGGAGAAAUUGCAAAAAGAACUGAAGCGAUAUUUAACUAGAAAAAUUGGGUUUGAAGCUGUCAUGAGGAUAAGAUGCACCAAAGGUCUCUCCAUUCAUACUUUCCAUGGGAACUUCUUUGUACGAUCUACAGACUUGUUGUCAUUACCCAAUGUAAACCCAGACGCAGGAUAUGCUGUGCAAAUGUCAGUGGAAGAGAGUCUUACUGAUAUGCAAGUUGUUUCUUUUCAGUCAGCUCUCCUGUACACCUCCAGCAAAGGUGAAAGACGAAUUCGUGUCCACACCAUGUGCUUACCUGUUGUCACAACACUGAGUGAUGUGUACCUAGGAGCAGAUGUGCAGGCCAUCACAGGGCUCUUAGCCAACAUGGCUGUGGACCGCUCCGUUUCUGCUACGCUGAGCGAUGCUCGGGAUGCCUUGGUCAAUGCAGUGAUAGAUUCUUUAGCUGCUUAUCGCUCAUCCGUGCUGAGCAUCCAACAGCCUGGGCUCACAGCUCCACACUCGCUGCGGCUCUUCCCACUUUAUAUACUGGCACUCUUAAAACAGAAAGCAUUUCAAACUGGGACAAACACACGUUUGGAUGAACGCAUCUUUACCAUGUGUCAGGUGAAAAACCAGCCCCUUGUUUACCUCAUGCUCAUGACGCAUCCCAGUCUGUACAGAGUUGAUAAUCUCACAGAUGAGGGGGCUCUUAACAUAAAUGACAGAACUAUACCUCAGCCACCCCUUCUCCAGCUGUCAGUGGAGAAGCUGAGUAGGGAUGGUGCUUAUCUUAUGGAUGCUGGCUCUGUGAUGUUUCUGUGGAUCGGAAAGAACUGUGGGCAGGGCUUUAUCAGCCAAGUCCUUGGAGUUCCAAAUUAUGGCUCAAUACCACAGAAUAUGACACAUCUCCCAGAACUUGAAACUGCAGAAUCCAUCAGAACACGAGCUUUCAUUUCUUGGCUGAGAGAACAGAGACCUUUCUUUCCUAUACUAUAUAUAAUAAAGGAUGAGAGUCCAUUGAAAUCAAGUUUUCUGCAAAAUAUGAUUGAAGACAGAACAGAAUCAGCCUUAUCAUACUAUGAAUUCCUCCUUCAUAUACAGCAGCAAGUGAAUAAAUGAAACACUAGCCUUUGGCUCACUUCUUUAAGGAAAGGUUUUGCAGUAAAGAAUGAUUGUGCUUGUAAUAUCUUCAUUAAAUCUGUGGCCUGAGGCAGUUGUUGAGAAGUUCUCACUGUGAUUUCAACGAACUAAAGCAAAUAAAGGACCACAUCUGAGAAUCAAAUGUGCAACUACAUAAUAUUGUACCUUAAAAGAAAAUCAAACUGUUGGAACUGGUUGAGCACCUUUAAUUUGCUGCAAAUUGUGUUUUUACUAUAAGUAGUUGCAGCAUGAAGUACAUUUACAAAGGCAAUACUGCAAAGAUAUAAAACCUCACAAUACUGAUCAUGAUUUGCAGGGAAAUUCUUUCUAAGUGCAUCCAGUGAUUACAGGCACAGCAUCUCAAUGUUCAUCUUAAUGCUUAAAGUAGCAAUGAAAGAAGUGUUCAUUGUGAAAUGAACAAAUGCUUAUGAAGUGUAGAAUCCAGUGCUUGGAUUGGAUUAUGGCUAAUAGGACUAAAGGUAAGCUUAACCUGGAUAAGGUGGAUGAAUUUGUUGAAGCUAUUAAUAAGUCAGUAUUCUAAUUUUAAAAACGAUGGGGAAGAGUGGGCCCUACAUGAGACAGAUUUUAAAAAGCUGUUGGCUGAGUUGGCAGCAAAAGUAGACUUAGACGGUAAGCUUUGCUUUUCUUCAGUAGAAGGAAUAGUUUUAAUUUUAAUUUUAUGAAUGGUGUGGGAGGGGAAGGGCAAGAAAGGUUAUUUCAGAUUUUGUUUGGUUUAUGUUCAGUAGACUUUUGGCUCUUGUUGACAUUAGGAAUGUUGAGCCCCUCAGAUCUGGUGUGUUUCUGAAGCAAGUUUGUUGGUAGCACUUCAGACCAAAUGUUGGUCUGUGACAUUGAAUAUUCUGACAAGAAAAUUGGAAAUUAUUUUUCCAAGAAUAAAGUUAUCAUAUUGCAUUUGAAGAUUUGUAUAUGGUUGCAGAAAUGCCUGAAGUUUUUUAAAAAAAGGGGGUUUUGCUGCAGCUGUGUAAUGAGCCCAGGUCUAAGGCCAGUGUGCACCAAAUAAAAGCUUUAACUAUACUCUCAGAUCCUGCCAGAGCUACAGAUUGAAGCUGACAUCAGACUUGAAGUGAAAAUUUAUAUACAAAAAAUAUUUAAAUAAUUUUAUAGAAGUGUAUUGAUAGUUUUUCUGUUUUGAAGAUUAAGCUAUCAUUGAUAGCUACCAAUGUAAAGAGUAUAUAAGUUACUAUAUCCCAAUGCCCAUGGAAGUGUUGCAUAUGGAAAAAUCUUGGCUUGCUUUUUUUAUUUAAUAGUGGUAAACUUAAAGGUCUCGCAAAACUUUCUGGGGCAAGUAACUUGAAGAGGUAAAACACUUGCAAGUGGUCAAAUGUACUGUGCUUAGGACAUUUGGAGAUAAAAAUGUCAGUAGGGUCAACAUUUGGGUAAACAUUUGCUCCCAUUUCAAGCUAUAGCUGCACAUGAUUGUCAGGAGUUGCCUUACUUUAGGGGAGGAGGAGUUCCUUGGGAGAAAUUGUUCUUGUUCCUUGAGCACAAGAAGCUAAAGUUCAGAACAAUGCUAAAACAGCAUGAAAACAUUAUUAUAGAACCAAUUUAAGCUUCCCUGUCUGCUGCUUCUGUAGCAAACAGGAAUAUAUUUACUUGAACUGCUUUUCAGAGAAUUGCACAGUUUCUAGUCAUAGUGAAGAGGUUUCUUUUAAGUUUUGACAGUAUGUUUUUUUUUCCAGGGAGGGGAAAAGGGGUCUCUUCAUUUAAAUCAUAAAUGGAACCUCUGCACUUGCAUAGGUUCUGCCCUAAACCUUGUGUUUUGGGUAUAUUAUCACUCAGAUGUUGAACUGAAAACCAUCCUUGCAUCAAAUAGCCCACCCAAAUUCUGUUUCUUACUGUGACUGUAUUUUGCUACUAUAUCCCUUUUUUUAAGAAACAUAAAUACUCGAGAUGGCCUCGUUGCUUUAUGUACACCAGACUAAUGGUUGAAGAUGCCAGUCUUUGUGGCAGUUAACAAGCUUGAAUUUGAGUCCCUAAAUUUUACAGAGCAAAACAUGAUAAAUGAGUCAGAUGAACCCCCUCAGAGUUCUCUUCACUUUGGAAGAAAUUCUGUAUUGAACUUUGUUAGUUUAUCCCCUUGCAGUGGGGAAGGCCUGCUGGUUCACUUGUACUGCUGUAAUGGCAAUACAGGAAACAUUCACACACACACUACCUGUGAUUCCUCAUUUUUACAUACAAUUGAAAAAUGAGGACACUGAAGAUGGACUGCAAAAGUAGGCAAGAGUGGCUCUGGUACUUAGAUCUCAGCACGACAACUCUACCACUGUAAAUGUGUGGUAGAGGUGUGUCUAUUUUUGUAGUUGGACACUUUUUAAAAACUGUUUCUGUAUUUGACACAUUAGUGUUCAGCCAACAUUGUUACCAUCCAUUUUACUUUGCUUUCAUUAUUGUUUUAAAUUUAAUAUAUUUGAGUCUUAAGUCCACACAGACUGUGUUGCAAUAAGUAGAAUGAUUCACUUUUAUUUAGAAUUAAUUUCUUAACAGAAUUUAAUCAAAGAUGCAGAAUGGCUGUUAAGGGACCAGUAAAUGUGAUUUUAAGGUUCUGUUUACUAUUAUGGAUGUAAUCCUUAUAGUAAGUUUAAUUUUGUAAAGUAGUGUAUAAUACUGUAAUAUUAAAUCUUUGUUCUCUGAACUCAAACAUUUGAUCUUCAGUAUGAAGUUAUAAAUCUUCCCCAUUCUGAAUUUGAGACAGGAUUUACUUGUCCUCCUUUUUACAGUUUGUAAUUUUCACUGUUUUAUUCCUGUAAAAAGUCAUUUGUAACACAUGCAAAUGCUUAUUUUAUCUGUGCUAAUUUAUCAGAUUUGGCUACUCAAUAAAAUUAAUUGAAAGAACUCA